rnacentral:rRNA from 1 species
AGGCUAUGUUGGCCGGGCGACGGUUGUCCCGGUUUAAGCGUGUAGGUGUGUGUUCCAGGUAAAUCCGGUUCACUUUAACACUGAGGCGUGACGACGAGGCACUACGGUGCUGAAGCAACAAAUGCCCUGCUUCCAGGAAAAGCCUCUAAGCAUCAGGUAACAUCAAAUCGUACCCCAAACCGACACAGGUGGUCAGGUAGAGAAUACCAAGGCGCUUGAGAGAACUCGGGUGAAGGAACUAGGCAAAAUGGUGCCGUAACUUCGGGAGAAGGCACGCUGACACGUAGGUGAAGUGAUUUACUCAUGGAGCUGAAGUCAGUCGAAGAUACCAGCUGGCUGCAACUGUUUAUUAAAAACACAGCACUGUGCAAACACGAAAGUGGACGUAUACGGUGUGACGCCUGCCCGGUGCCGGAAGGUUAAUUGAUGGGGUCAGCGCAAGCGAAGCUCCUGAUCGAAGCCCCGGUAAACGGCGGCCGUAACUAUAACGGUCCUAAGGUAGCGAAAUUCCUUGUCGGGUAAGUUCCGACCUGCACGAAUGGCGUAAUGAUGGCCAGGCUGUCUCCACCCGAGACUCAGUGAAAUUGAACUCGCUGUGAAGAUGCAGUGUACCCGCGGCAAGACGGAAAGACCCCGUGAACCUUUACUAUAGCUUGACACUGAACAUUGAGCCUUGAUGUGUAGGAUAGGUGGGAGGCUUUGAAGUGUGGACGCCAGUCUGCAUGGAGCCGACCUUGAAAUACCACCCUUUAAUGUUUGAUGUUCUAACGUGGACCCGUUACCCGGGUUGCGGACAGUGUCUGGUGGGUAGUUUGACUGGGGCGGUCUCCUCCUAAAGAGUAACGGAGGAGCACGAAGGUUGGCUAAUCCUGGUCGGACAUCAGGAGGUUAGUGCAAUGGCAUAAGCCAGCUUGACUGCGAGCGUGACGGCGCGAGCAGGUGCGAAAGCAGGUCAUAGUGAUCCGGUGGUUCUGAAUGGAAGGGCCAUCGCUCAACGGAUAAAAGGUACUCCGGGGAUAACAGGCUGAUACCGCCCAAGAGUUCAUAUCGACGGCGGUGUUUGGCACCUCGAUGUCGGCUCAUCACAUCCUGGGGCUGAAGUAGGUCCCAAGGGUAUGGCUGUUCGCCAUUUAAAGUGGUACGCGAGCUGGGUUUAGAACGUCGUGAGACAGUUCGGUCCCUAUCUGCCGUGGGCGCUGGAGAAC